UACGGGGGGAGCAAGCGUUGUUCGGAUUUACUGGGCGUAAAGGGCGUGUAGGCGGCGCAACAAGUCACUUGUGAAAUCUCCGGGCUUAACUCGGAAAGGUCAACUGAUACUGUGCGACUAGAGUGCAGAAGGGGCAACUGGAAUUCUCGGUGUAGCGGUGAAAUGCGUAGAUAUCGAGAGGAACACCUGCGGCGAAGGCGGGUUGCUGGGCUGACACUGACGCUGAUGCGCGAAAGCCAGGGGAGCGAACGGG
rnacentral:rRNA from 1 species